rnacentral:tRNA from 1 species
GCACUCGUAGCUCAAUUGGAUAGAGCGUCUGACUACGGAUCAGAAGGUUAGGGGUUCGAGUCCCUUCGAGUGCGCCA